AGGACGAACGCUGGCGGCGUGCCUAAUACAUGCAAGUCGAACGGAGUCCAUUCGGUGGCAACACCGAGGAAGAUUUAGUGGCGAACGGGUGCGGAACACGUGAGGAACCUGCCCCGAAGACCGGGAUAACAGCGGGAAACCGCUGCUAAUACCGGACACCCCCAUCGGGCCACAUGGCCUGCUGAGGAAAUGGAUUCCGCUUCGGGAGGGCCUCGCGGCCUAUCAGCUUGUUGGUGAGGUGAAGGCUCACCAAGGCGACGACGGGUAGCUGGUCUGAGAGGACGAUCAGCCACACUGGGACUGAGACACGGCCCAGACUCCUACGGGAGGCAGCAGUGGGGAAUCUUGCGCAAUGGGCGAAAGCCUGACGCAGCAACGCCGCGUGAGGGAUGAAGGCCUUCGGGUUGUAAACCUCUUUCAAGCAGGGACGAUAAUGACGGUACCUGCAGAAGAAGCUCCGGCCAACUACGUGCCAGCAGCCGCGGU
rnacentral:rRNA from 1 species